CAGCCGCCGCGGUAAUACGAGGGGUCCUAGCGUUGUUCGGAAUCAUUGGGCGUAAAGCGUAUGUAGGCUGCCAUGUAAGUCAGUUGUGAAAGCCCCGGGCUCAACCCGGGAAGUGCUUCUGAUACUGCGUGGCUUGAGUACUAGAGAGGAUAGUAGAAUCCCAGGUGUAGUGGUGAAAUGCGUAGAGAUGUGGAGGAACACCAGUGGCGAAGGCGACUCUCUGGUCUGUAACUGACGCUGAGGAGCGAAAGCGUGGGGAGCGAACAGGAUUAGAUACCCGCGUAGCCCUGUCUCUUAUACA
rnacentral:rRNA from 1 species